AGAUGGGAAACGGAUUAUCUUUUUAUAGGAUUCAAAGUGUGUGCCUGGAAACAAAAUCAGCCAUGAAGGAUUUCAACUUGAGUCAUCACUACAACACCAUGCACAAAGACAAAUAUGAGUAUAGAUAAGUACGCCGGAGCUGCCAGAGCCGCUAUCGUCGCUGACCUCAAAAGAAAAAUACAUCGACAGCAGAGCCUUUUUACCAAAGCUAUGACUACACAGGAGUCCUCUCUUGCGGCAUCUUAUGCUGUGUGUUGAGCUUGCUAAAGCAAAGAAGCCAUUGUCAGACGGUGAAACAGUGGAGCGAUGUGCAGUAGUGAUGGCUAAAGCUUUUGGAGAUGAUAACAUGGCUAAAAACUUUGAAACAGUCUCUCUGUCCCGUCGCACAGUCACAUGAAGAAUUUUUGACAUUCAAAAUCAUGUCGAAGGAAAGCAAAAAAAAAGUCGUGCAUGACUGCAAAUACUUCCUUAGCAUUGGAUGAAAGUACAGAUGUGAUGGAUGUAACCCAGCUCCUUAUUUACAUGAGAGCCAUUGACAAUUAAUUUGAAGUGCACGAGGAGUUACUGAAGUUGGUUGAUAUUUUCAACACCGUUGAAAGUGUUGUAAGUGUGAAUGGGGGCUUUGACAAGCUUUCUGCUGUUGUUACCGAUGGCGCACCAUCAGUGCAAGGAAGACACACUGGAUUUGCCGGGCUCCUCAGACAGAGCGGCAUCGACUGCCAAAUACUGCACUGCAUCAUACAUCAGGAGGCCCUCUGUGCGAAGACAGUCAACUUCAGCCAUGUCAUGGAUUUAGUUACCAAGGUUACAAAUCUCAUUCGAGGCGGGAACCAGUCUCUCAACCAUCGGAAGUUUGUUACAUUUUUGGAUGAAGUGAGCGCCGCUUAUAGGGAUUUACAGAUGCACACUGAGAUCAGAUGGAUGAGCCAUUGGAAGUGCUUGGAGAGGUUUUUUGCGCUGUGCGCUGAAAUCCCAGUUUUCUUGGAGGGCAGCCUUCGUAUGCAGUUGCAGAGAAGAGGCCAAACUGUGUCGGAUCGUUACGCACACAUGAACGCAUUUCAGCUUUUCUUCCGACCAUCCAAAUUUGGCAAACUUUCCCGCCUGUGCAGACAUGCAAAAAGAUGUCCCUGAAUGCAAGAAGUCAUGUACAGAGCCGGCAUUGCAACAGCCGUUCAAGGACCGCUUUCAAGAUUUCUACGCCAUGCAGCCACGAAUUGCGUUAUUCACUGACCCCAUCUCUGCUGCUGUCAGCCACCAAUCCCCUGAGUUGCAGUUUGAACUGUACGAACUACAGUCAGAUCCCUUCUUUGAAACAAAGCGCAGUGAGAGGGGAAUUUCAUUUUGGAGAUUUCUAGCGGAGUCCCGCUUUCCACUCCUAAGGGAUUUUGCACUGUCAAUGGCCUGCAUGUUUGGAAGCACUUACAUCUGUGAGAGCAGCUUCUCAACAAUGAAGCACAUCAAGUCAAAAGAGAGAAACAGACUGACAGAUGAAACGCUGUUCCAGCUCAUGGAGAUUGGAUGCACAAACAUUGAAAUUGACAUACAGUCUAUUGUACGCCAGCAGGAGAGGCCACAAGUAUCUCAUUAAGACAGAACUUUAUUCAGAGUGUCAAAGCUUUUUGAGAUAAAUGUAUGCUUAUUUACAACAUGUCAUGGAAUGGGAAGAAAGUAAGUGCACUAUACUAUAAAUGCACUACCACCAACCUUGCACUGAAAUAAUUGUAUAUCAGUCCACAAUAUAGAUAUUUCUUCUGUGUUAAUUAAAUGAAAGAAUCUUUUUCUAAAUGCAUUUGUGUAUGAAAAAUAGAAAUGUUGGUACAAUAAAUUUUGAUAACCAGUA